GACGAACGCUGGCGGCGUGCUUAACACAUGCAAGUCGAACGGAAAGGCCCUGCUUUUGUGGGGUGCUCGAGUGGCGAACGGGUGAGUAACACGUGAGUAACCUGCCCUUGACUUUGGGAUAACUUCAGGAAACUGGGGCUAAUACCGGAUAGGAGCUCCUGCUGCAUGGUGGGGGUUGGAAAGUUUCGGCGGUUGGGGAUGGACUCGCGGCUUAUCAGCUUGUUGGUGGGGUAGUGGCUUACCAAGGCUUUGACGGGUAGCCGGCCUGAGAGGGUGACCGGCCACAUUGGGACUGAGAGACGGCCCAGACUCCUACGGGAGGCAGCAGUGGGGAAUAUUGCACAAUGGGCGGAAGCCUGAUGCAGCAACGCCGCGUGCGGGAUGACGGCCUUCGGGUUGUAAACCGCUUUCGCCUGUGACGAAGCGUUAGUGACGGUAAUGGGUAAAGAAGCACCGGCUAACUACGUG
rnacentral:rRNA from 1 species